ACUACAUUUAAAGGGGGCAAAGGGGACCCUUAAGUAAGUUCCUCUCUAAGAGACACAAGAGCACACCCACUCUCUCUUUGUCAUUCUCUUUCCUUCACUAUUCUCAAGCUUCGAUUGACUAAAGCAUCAGAGGAUCCUCCAUCAAAGAAUCUUCAGUGAGUAUGGGCUUUCUUUUCAGAUUUUUCAAGAAGUGCGGCCAGUCUUCAGAAUGCUGCCAAACUCUAAGUCGGUAGG
rnacentral:lncRNA from 1 species